rnacentral:rRNA from 1 species
AACGAACGCUGGCUGCAUGCCUAAUACAUGCAAGUCGAACGAGAUCUUCGGAUCUAGUGGCGCACGGGUACGUAACGCGUGGGAAUCUGCCCAUGGGUUCGGCAUAACAGCGGGAAACUUCUGCUCUUACCGGAUGAUGACGUAAGUCCAAAGAUUUAUCGCCCAGGGAUGAGCCCGCGUAUGAUUAGGUAGGGGGUGGGGUAAAGGCCUACCAACCCUACGAUCCUUAGCUGGUCUGAGAGGAUGCUCAGCGACACUGGGACUGAGACACGGAACAGACUCCUACGUGAGGCAGCAGUAGUGAAUAUUGGACAAUGGGGUCAGCCCUGAUCCAGCAAUGCCGCGUGAGUGAUGAAGGCCUUAGGGUUGUAAAGCUCUGUUUCCCUGGAUGAUAAUGACAGUACCGGGAGAAUAAGCCCCGGCUAACUCCGUGCCAGCAGCCGCGGUAA